AUUGAACGCUGGCGGCAUGCCUUACACAUGCAAGUCGAACGGCAGCACGGGUGCUUGCACCUGGUGGCGAGUGGCGAACGGGUGAGUAAUACAUCGGAACAUGUCCUGUAGUGGGGGAUAGCCCGGCGAAAGCCGGAUUAAUACCGCAUACGAUCUACGGAUGAAAGCGGGGGACCUUCGGGCCUCGCGCUAUAGGGUUGGCCGAUGGCUGAUUAGCUAGUUGGUGGGGUAAAGGCCUACCAAGGCGACGAUCAGUAGCUGGUCUGAGAGGACGACCAGCCACACUGGGACUGAGACACGGCCCAGACUCCUACGGGAGGCAGCAGUGGGGAAUUUUGGACAAUGGGCGAAAGCCCGAUCCAGCAAUGCCGCGUGUGUGAAGAAGGCCUUCGGGUUGUAAAGCACUUUUGUCCGGAAAGAAAUCCUUGGCCCUAAUACGGUCGGGGGAUGACGGUACCGGAAGAAUAAGCACCGGCUAACUACGUG
rnacentral:rRNA from 1 species